GUGGAUUAGAUACCCUGGUAGUCCACGCCGUAAACGAUGAGUACUAGGUGUUGCGGGUAUUGACCCCUGCAGUGCCGCAGCUAACGCGUUAAGUACUCCGCCUGGGAAGUACGGUCGCAAGACUAAAACUCAAAGGAAUUGACGGGGGCCCGCACAAGCGGUGGAGCAUGUGGUUUAAUUCGACGCAACGCGAAGAACCUUACCAGGUCUUGACAUCCGCGGAACCUCUCUGAAAGGAGAGGGUGCCUUCGGGAGCCGCGAGACAGGUGCUGCACGGUUGUCGCCAGCU
rnacentral:rRNA from 1 species